rnacentral:RNase_P_RNA from 1 species
CGAGUCGGUCAGGCGAUCGCUCUUCAGUCACUUCGGUGAAUGGAGGGAGGAAAGUCCGGGCUCCACAGGGCAGGGUGCCAGGUAACACCUGGGGGGCGCGAGCCUACGGAAAGUGCAGCAGAAAGGAAACCGCCGCCGCAAUUGCGGCGGUAAGGGUGAAAAGGUGCGGUAAGAGCGCACCGCGCGGCUGGUGACAGGCGUGGCGAUGGUAAACCCCACUCGGAGCAAGACCAAAUAGGAAUCCGUCAGCUGCGGCCCGCAGUGGAUUCGGGUAGGUCGCUACAGGCAGGUGGUGACACCGGUCGCAGAUGAAUGAUCGUCCACGACAGAACCCGGCUUAUCGACCGACUCGAUUC